UACUGAGGGUGCAAGCGUUGUUCGGAAUUACUGGGCGUAAAGCGCACGCAGGCUGUCAGAUAAGUCGGAUGUGAAAGCCCCUUGCUCAACGAGGGAAUUGCGUUCGAAACUGUUUGGCUUGAGUUCGAGAGAGGGAAGUGGAAUUCCAGGUGUAGAGGUGAAAUUCGUUGAUAUCUGGAGGAACACCGGCGGCGAAGGCGGCUUCCUGGCUCGAUACUGACGCUGAGGUGCGAAAGCGUGGGGAGCAAAC
rnacentral:rRNA from 1 species